rnacentral:rRNA from 1 species
UCUCUAUGCGGUGCCAGCAGCCGCGGUAAUACGUAGGUGGCGAGCGUUGUCCGGAUUUACUGGGUGUAAAGGGCGCGUAGGCGGGGAUGCAAGUCAGGUGUGAAAUCUAUGGGCUCAACCCAUAAACUGCACUUGAAACUGUAUCUCUUGAGUGAUGGAGAGGCAGGCGGAAUUCCUAGUGUAGCGGUGAAAUGCGUAGAUAUUAGGAGGAACACCAGUGGCGAAGGCGGCCUGCUGGACAUUAACUGACGCUGAGGCGCGAAAGCGUGGGGGGCAAAC